UAUGUAGUGCACUGUGGUUAAUCCUUGUGCUCACAGUAUACUUUAUUUAGAAUCACUGCAGAAUUCCUCCUCUGAUUUUUCUCACUGAAAUUAGACUGCAAUGCUAUGCUUCAGACUUCACAGGAGCCUAAAGAAAGUAAUGUCCUGUGAGCAGAGGAUACUUUUGGGAAUACUUCAGCCCUGGCAGUCAAAGGUUUCACCAACAUUGCUUCACUGAGGACAGAAAAUUCAACAGUAGCUGAAUUGUGAAGUUCCCAGAAGACCAUUUUAUUCUGAAUCUAAGGGUAAGAGAUCUGACUCACAUCAAGUCAGUCCUGGAAGCAAUGGAAUCCGAUGUAGAGAUUUGUGUUUGUGAAAGAAAAAGCAUUCAGCUUCAGCAUCAUCAUUAACUGAAGUGUGACUCACUUCGCCGAGGAUAAAUUGUUCCAUUUAAGAGGCCACACGAAGAGCAUUACCUGCACAAGCAGGGAAGAGUGCUGUGCAGUUUGGCAGAUGCCUCUUAAGAAGAAGUGUUGG